rnacentral:rRNA from 1 species
AGGACGAACGCUGGCGGCGUGCUUAACACAUGCAAGUCGAGCGGGCGUAGCAAUACGUCAGCGGCAGACGGGUGAGUAACGCGUGGGAACAUACCUUUUGGUUCGGAACAACCCAGGGAAACUUGGGCUAAUACCGGAUAAGCCCUUACGGGGAAAGAUUUAUCGCCGAAAGAUUGGCCCGCGUCUGAUUAGCUAGUUGGUGAGGUAACGGCUCACCAAGGCGACGAUCAGUAGCUGGUCUGAGAGGAUGAUCAGCCACAUUGGGACUGAGACACGGCCCAAACUCCUACGGGAGGCAGCAGUGGGGAAUAUUGGACAAUGGGCGCAAGCCUGAUCCAGCCAUGCCGCGUGAGUGAUGAAGGCCCUAGGGUUGUAAAGCUCUUUUGUGCGGGAAGAUAAUGACGGUACCGCAAGAAUAAGCCCGGCUAACUUCGCGCCAGCAGCCGC